AUUGAACGCUGGCGGCAUGCUUUACACAUGCAAGUCGAACGGUAACAGGCCGCAAGGUGCUGACGAGUGGCGCACGGGUGAGUAAUGCAUCGGAACGUGCCCAGUCGUGGGGGAUAACUACUCGAAAGAGUAGCUAAUACCGCAUACGAUCUAUGGAUGAAAGCGGGGGACCGUAAGGCCUCGCGCGAUUGGAGCGGCCGAUGUCAGAUUAGGUAGUUGGUGGGGUAAAGGCUCACCAAGCCAACGAUCUGUAGCUGGUCUGAGAGGACGACCAGCCACACUGGGACUGAGACACGGCCCAGACUCCUACGGGAGGCAGCAGUGGGGAAUUUUGGACAAUGGGCGCAAGCCUGAUCCAGCAAUGCCGCGUGCAGGAAGAAGGCCUUCGGGUUGUAAACUGCUUUUGUACGGAACGAAACGGCUCUGGUUAAUACCCGGGGCUAAUGACGGUACCGUAAGAAUAAGCACCGGCUAACUACGCG
rnacentral:rRNA from 1 species